UUGGGCCAUAUACUUUUUAUAUUUGUCUGCCUACUGGCUUCUGGACAAACCUUGCUAAUUGCAAUAUGGGGCCGCCACAAAGACAACAAUAACUAUUAUCUUGGUCGCAAUCACAAGAUGUACCAGUAUGCCCUUGCCCACAUUUAUAGCACCUUGGUUUAGAUCUGCAUGUAUCUUUAGUGUGUCCAUACCGGCAACAAUUGUAGCAUUGAAUUGACGGAUAAAUGUAUAGUUCUACUUUGAGGGAAUUAAAACACAUAAAUACUCUUGUGGGAAGGACCUGACCAUCAAAAACAUGUCCACCGGUACACCUCUUACGAGCCCCAUCCUGGUAACAUUAAAAGAUGGAAUAAAAGCUUCAUAACCUUUUCCAAUAAGGCAUGAUGUUUUAAGAAAGAAUUUGCAGCUGAGUGACUUGUGAAUGCCAUUGAAAUUUUGUUGCGACCGAUACGCUUCAAACUGCCUUGUACUAUGUUUGGCACCUGGUUUUAUACAAAAAUCUGCCAAAGCAUAUUGGAUGCAAAUUAAGAUCCUGUGUUACCUCUCCUGUACUAGACCUAGCAACAUGAAUAAUAAAUGGUGAAGCAUCCAA